AUUCAUUAAAAACACCCCACAGUGCCGUUUCUAACAAGGAAAAUGUCAAUAAUGUCGACUCUGGCAUUGAAUCUUCCCAUCAUACUGGGUGAUGAGCGCCACUUCAAGCCUGGAGAUGCAGCUUGUCAAAAGGUUGAUACAUGCAAGGACAGAAUUAUCGCUGCCCUGGACACACUAUGGCCUACAUCUUCAUGGGAGAGAAUUUUUGCUUCUAGGCAGGAAGCAGAUACAACUUUUCUUGGUGGGCGUGGUUUUGGAACAGCCAUGUCUUCUCUAAUUGAGUACUUGAGUUCAGAGUAUGGUUAUACUUUUGCUUAGGAUGGUCAACUAGACACUAAGAGAUAUGGUGAGCAAUAUGCUAGCAAAGGGGAAGAUGUUGACCUCAUGUUGCUCCCUGAGCAGAUACCUUCCUAUAGAGAUCUGGUAAGCUUGUGCUUCUUUUGAGUAAAAAAAUUCCAUCCAUUAGUGAAAUUUUGAAACAGGCCACCGUGGUGCUGUUGCUGUUCAAACAGGAGUAUGUGUACACAUAUUUGCAGGCGAAUGCUAUCCUAAGAUUGACU